UACGAAGGGGGCUAGCGUUGCUCGGAAUUACUGGGCGUAAAGCGCACGUAGGCGGCGAUUCAAGUCAGAGGUGAAAGCCCGGGGCUCAACCCCGGAACUGCCUUUGAAACUAGAUUGCUAGAAUCCUGGAGAGGUUAGUGGAAUUCCGAGUGUAGAGGUGAAAUUCGUAGAUAUUCGGAAGAACACCAGUGGCGAAGGCGACUAACUGGACAGGUAUUGACGCUGAGGUGCGAAAGCGUGGGGAGCAAACAGG
rnacentral:rRNA from 1 species